GUUGAGAGAUGAAAAGGUACUGAGUCUCAAUGACAUCCUUUGAGAUACUGGGUCAAGCUGGACAUGAAGACAGAUCUAUCCCUAAACUUUUCAGAUGUAUAAGUGGAUAAAUAGUUGUUUUCUUAAACUAACUUGAAUUAGAUUUUGUUACCAGAAGCAAAAAUGUGCUAUAAUGUGUGUUUCCCUUGCCUUUUAUGAUAUUCACUCUUACUCUUUCCAACCUCUGUGCCUCCAAGGAUUGACCUGUGUGGACUACAUCAAAGAACUCAUUUGCCCUUUAACUUCUGAUUGUGUUCAGUCACAGCCUGGAGAGUAGGUCAGAUAUUUAUUCUUUAAAAGUUCUCUCUUCCUAAAUCACAAUAGAUUGGUUGGUCUUCUAAAGGCUCCAGAGCCAGCCAAGUGCCCUUUUCUCUCCAUGUUUGAGUAGCUGUUUUCUCACUUCAAACCAUCAGACCCAGGGGACUAAUACCUUUCACAAUUGUUAGCCCCAAGAUUAAACAUUACUCCUAAUUGAUUUCCCUUAAUCUUUUCUAUACAUUUAUAAAUAUAUUAAAUUCCCUUAAAUUUUCCUGUUUGUAUGAGCUGUCUCUUUCUGCCAGGACCCAGAAUGAUACAUACUUUAUUCAUCAUAAUUUUCAAAAUAAAAUGGAAAAUGUAAUAAUUUUAAGACAUAAUCCAAUUUGCCACUUGAACAAUGUACUGCUUGAUAUUAAAUGCUCAGCUGAAUGUAAAGUAUAAGCCUUCAGACUUUUUGCAAUGCGUGCAAUUUUAGGAAGUCAUUGGUGAAGGGACUUGAGAGUUUUUGACAUCUGUACAAACUGGGAAUCAUUUUAAUAUUUGGAUUCCUUUCCAUUCAUGACUCCCAGAAACAACCUUUUAGUGCAACCAUGGUGGUACCUUCUUUAUUAUCCAUAGUUUUUCUAACUAAGCAUCCCCAUGUUCUCAGAAAUUUAUGUUUUCAUUUUUCUAGAUCUUAGAGGGCAACUUGAAUUUCUGUGCAUAAAUGAAGAAAAUAAUUUAGAAAUACACCAAAUUAAAAGGCAACAACUUAUAAGCAAGUAAAGAAUUGAUC
rnacentral:lncRNA from 1 species